rnacentral:misc_RNA from 1 species
GAUGAAGAACGUAGCGAAAUGCGAUAAGUAAUGUGAAUUGCAGAAUUCAGUGAGUCAUCGAAUCUUUGAACGCACCUUGCGCUCCUUGGUAUUCCGAGGAGCAUGCCUGUUUGAGUGUCAUUAAUAUAUCAACCUUCUCUUUUUUGAGUUGUUUGGAUGUGGGGGUUUGCUGGCCUCUUAAAUGAUUCAGCUCCCCUGAAAUGCAUUAGCAGAACAACCUGUUCAUUAGCGUGAUAAUUAUCUAUGCUAUUGAAUGUGAGGGCAGUUCAGCUUUCUAACCGUCCUUGGACAAUUCAUCAUUAAUGUGACCUCAAAUCAGGUAGGACUACCCGCUGAACUUAAGCAUAUCAAUAAGCGGAGGA